GACGAACGCUGGCGGCGUGCUUAACACAUGCAAGUCGAACGGAAAGGCCCCUUCGGGGGUACUCGAGUGGCGAACGGGUGAGUAACACGUGGGCGAUCUGCCCUGCACUUCGGGAUAAGCCUGGGAAACUGGGUCUAAUACCGGAUAGGACCCUCCUUUAGUGUGGGGGGUGGAAAGAUUUAUCGGUGCAGGAUGAGCCCGCGGCCUAUCAGCUUGUUGGUGGGGUAAUGGCCUACCAAGGCGUCGACGGGUAGCCGGCCUGAGAGGGUGGACGGCCACAUUGGGACUGAGAUACGGCCCAGACUCCUACGGGAGGCAGCAGUGGGGAAUAUUGCACAAUGGGCGGAAGCCUGAUGCAGCGACGCCGCGUGGGGGAUGACGGCCUUCGGGUUGUAAACCUCUUUCGACAGGGACGAAGCGCAAGUGACGGUACCUGUAUAAGAAGCACCGGCUAACUACGUGCCAGCCGCCGCCGUAAUAC
rnacentral:rRNA from 1 species